GACGUAGGGCGCGAGCGUUGUCCGGAUUUAUUGGGCGUAAAGAGCUCGUAGGCGGCUUGUCGCGUCGACUGUGAAAUCCCGCGGCUCAACUGCGGGUCUGCAGUCGAUACGGGCAGGCUAGAGUUCGGUAGGGGAGACUGGAAUUCCUGGUGUAGCGGUGAAAUGCGCAGAUAUCAGGAGGAACACCGGUGGCGAAGGCGGUUAGCUGGGCAGUUGCUGACACUGAGGCGCGACAGCGUGGGGAGCAAACAGG
rnacentral:rRNA from 1 species